UACGUAGGCAGCAAGCGUUGUUCGGAGUUACUGGGCGUAAAGAGUGUGUAGGCGGUGCUCCAAGUCUGGUGUGAAAUCUCCCGGCUUAACUGGGAGGGUGCAUUAGAAACUGCCGGGCUUGAGUAUGGGAGAGGUGAGUGGAAUUUCCGGUGUAGCGGUGAAAUGCGUAGAUAUUGGGAGGAACACCAGUGGCGAAGGCGACUGCCUGGACGGCACCUGACGCUGAGGCGCGAAAGCUAGGGGAGCAAACGGG
rnacentral:rRNA from 1 species